rnacentral:lncRNA from 1 species
AAAAACCUAACUUCUAACUAGCUCCAAACCUUACAGAUCUGCUAGUCUCAUUUUACAGCUGAAAGUGUUUUCCUGAUUUAGGCUCAUGACAAGCAUGAUGUUUUGGAAUUGAUCCUUUCAGGGCUAGCUGGAUAGCUUCUUUUGCAUGGGAAAUAGAGUUGAUAAAUAUAUCGUAUAUACUUUAUGAUGGUCAAAUGCUUUCGUACUUUUUGAGACCUUAGAUCCAUAUGUCCUAGUAAGGAAAAUUGUGUUGAGAUUACUACUGUUAUCUUUAGAUUGUGGCUUCGCUUUGGAGAGGCAUGUGUUUGGCUUCGCAUUUCUCUAAGGUUUAUGCUAAGAGACAAGCUAUUUUCUCUUGUUUGACAUGCAUACCUGUUGGGAACGCCGGGGUUUGCAAAUCUUGUAUCAUUUCUUGCCAUUAUGGUCAUGACUCAUGAGGUAUUACUAAUCUAAGACUUGAAUUUUCCUUUAUAUAAUUGAUUAAUGAUUAUGUUAAUGAUCUUAGGCUGCUGAUGAAGCGUGAUGCUAGCGAAGAUGUUGAAAACACGGGGAAUUCAUCUAACCACAAUUGCAAAGGUUCAUACUGCACAUGUGGCUGGCCAUAUCCUGAUCCAAGUGGCCAUUGCAAUAGAAAAUGACAUUUUGGAAAUAUAACAAUGUUUUGUUACAAAAAAUUCUAAAAAAGGAAUACAAGCGUAAUAUCUCAAACCACGAGGGAGGUUAGUUCUAUAAAGAUAAACAUGAUUUGGAUUUUCCCUAAUUAUAACUUAUAUUAUGAACUUUAUUUUGAAAAGGACAAAGGUCCAAAUAUGC